rnacentral:rRNA from 1 species
UUAAGCGACUAAGCGUACACGGUGGAUGCCCUGGCAGUCAGAGGCGAUGAAGGACGUGCUAAUCUGCGAUAAGCGUCGGUGAGGUGAUAUGAACCGUUAUAACCGGCGAUUUCCGAAUGGGGAAACCCAGUGUGUUUCGACACACUAUCAUUAACUGAAUCCAUAGGUUAAUGAGGCGAACCGGGGGAACUGAAACAUCUAAGUACCCCGAGGAAAAGAAAUCAACCGAGAUUCCCCCAGUAGCGGCGAGCGAACGGGGAGGAGCCCAGAGCCUGAAUCAGUGUGUGUGUUAGUGGAAGCGUCUGGAAAGGCGCGCGAUACAGGGUGACAGCCCCGUACACAAAAAUGCACAUACUGUGAGCUCGAUGAGUAGGGCGGGACACGUGGUAUCCUGUCUGAAUAUGGGGGGACCAUCCUCCAAGGCUAAAUACUCCUGACUGACCGAUAGUGAACCAGUACCGUGAGGGAAAGGCGAAAAGAACCCCGGCGAGGGGAGUGAAAAAGAACCUGAAACCGUGUACGUACAAGCAGUGGGAGCCUCUUAAUGGGGUGACUGCGUACCUUUUGUAUAAUGGGUCAGCGACUUAUAUUCUGUAGCAAGGUUAACCGAAUAGGGGAGCCGAAGGGAAACCGAGUCUUAACUGGGCGUUAAGUUGCAGGGUAUAGACCCGAAACCCGGUGAUCUAGCCAUGGGCAGGUUGAAGGUUGGGUAACACUAACUGGAGGACCGAACCGACUAAUGUUGAAAAAUUAGCGGAUGACUUGUGGCUGGGGGUGAAAGGCCAAUCAAACCGGGAGAUAGCUGGUUCUCCCCGAAAGCUAUUUAGGUAGCGCCUCGUGAAUUCAUCUCCGGGGGUAGAGCACUGUUUCGGCAAGGGGGUCAUCCCGACUUACCAACCCGAUGCAAACUGCGAAUACCGGAGAAUGUUAUCACGGGAGACACACGGCGGGUGCUAACGUCCGUCGUGAAGAGGGAAACAACCCAGACCGCCAGCUAAGGUCCCAAAGUCAUGGUUAAGUGGGAAACGAUGUGGGAAGGCCCAGACAGCCAGGAUGUUGGCUUAGAAGCAGCCAUCAUUUAAAGAAAGCGUAAUAGCUCACUGGUCGAGUCGGCCUGCGCGGAAGAUGUAACGGGGCUAAACCAUGCACCGAAGCUGCGGCAGCGACGCUUAUGCGUUGUUGGGUAGGGGAGCGUUCUGUAAGCCUGUGAAGGUGGCCUGUGAGGGUUGCUGGAGGUAUCAGAAGUGCGAAUGCUGACAUAAGUAACGAUAAAGCGGGUGAAAAGCCCGCUCGCCGGAAGACCAAGGGUUCCUGUCCAACGUUAAUCGGGGCAGGGUGAGUCGACUCCUAAGGCGAGGCCGAAAGGCGUAGUCGAUGGGAAACAGGUUAAUAUUCCUGUACUUGGUGUUACUGCGAAGGGGGGACGGAGAAGGCUAUGUUGGCCGGGCGACGGUUGUCCCGGUUUAAGCGUGUAGGCUGGUUUUCCAGGCAAAUCCGGAAAACCAAGGCUGAGGCGUGAUGACGAGGCACUACGGUGCUGAAGUGACAAAUGCCCUGCUUCCAGGAAAAGCCUCUAAGCAUCAGGUAACAUCAAAUCGUACCCCAAACCGACACAGGUGGUCAGGUAGAGAAUACCAAGGCGCUUGAGAGAACUCGGGUGAAGGAACUAGGCAAAAUGGUGCCGUAACUUCGGGAGAAGGCACGCUGAUAUGUAGGUGAAGCGACUUGCUCGUGGAGCUGAAAUCAGUCGAAGAUACCAGCUGGCUGCAACUGUUUAUUAAAAACACAGCACUGUGCAAACACGAAAGUGGACGUAUACGGUGUGACGCCUGCCCGGUGCCGGAAGGUUAAUUGAUGGGGUUAGCGGUAACGCGAAGCUCUUGAUCGAAGCCCCGGUAAACGGCGGCCGUAACUAUAACGGUCCUAAGGUAGCGAAAUUCCUUGUCGGGUAAGUUCCGACCUGCACGAAUGGCGUAAUGAUGGCCAGGCUGUCUCCACCCGAGACUCAGUGAAAUUGAACUCGCUGUGAAGAUGCAGUGUACCCGCGGCAAGACGGAAAGACCCCGUGAACCUUUACUAUAGCUUGACACUGAACAUUGAGCCUUGAUGUGUAGGAUAGGUGGGAGGCUUUGAAGUGUGGACGCCAGUCUGCAUGGAGCCGACCUUGAAAUACCACCCUUUAAUGUUUGAUGUUCUAACGUUGGCCCGUAAUCCGGGUUGCGGACAGUGUCUGGUGGGUAGUUUGACUGGGGCGGUCUCCUCCUAAAGAGUAACGGAGGAGCACGAAGGUUGGCUAAUCCUGGUCGGACAUCAGGAGGUUAGUGCAAUGGCAUAAGCCAGCUUGACUGCGAGCGUGACGGCGCGAGCAGGUGCGAAAGCAGGUCAUAGUGAUCCGGUGGUUCUGAAUGGAAGGGCCAUCGCUCAACGGAUAAAAGGUACUCCGGGGAUAACAGGCUGAUACCGCCCAAGAGUUCAUAUCGACGGCGGUGUUUGGCACCUCGAUGUCGGCUCAUCACAUCCUGGGGCUGAAGUAGGUCCCAAGGGUAUGGCUGUUCGCCAUUUAAAGUGGUACGCGAGCUGGGUUUAGAACGUCGUGAGACAGUUCGGUCCCUAUCUGCCGUGGGCGCUGGAGAACUGAGGGGGGCUGCUCCUAGUACGAGAGGACCGGAGUGGACGCAUCACUGGUGUUCGGGUUGUCAUGCCAAUGGCACUGCCCGGUAGCUAAAUGCGGAAGAGAUAAGUGCUGAAAGCAUCUAAGCACGAAACUUGCCCCGAGAUGAGUUCUCCCUGAGACUUAGAGUCUCCUGAAGGAACGUUGAAGACGACGACGUUGAUAGGCCGGGUGUGUAAGCGCAGCGAUGCGUUGAGCUAACCGGUACUAAUGAACCGUGAGGCUUAACCUU